UACGUAGGGGGCUAGCGUUGUCCGGAAUCAUUGGGCGUAAAGCGCGUGUAGGCGGCCCGGUAAGUCCGCUGUGAAAGUCGAGGGCUCAACCCUCGAAUGCCGGUGGAUACUGUCGGGCUAGAGUACGGAAGAGGCGAGUGGAAUUCCUGGUGUAGCGGUGAAAUGCGCAGAUAUCAGGAGGAACACCGGUGGCGAAGGCGGGUCUCUGGGCCGUAACUGACGCUGAGGAGCGAAAGCGUGGGGAGCAAACAGG
rnacentral:rRNA from 1 species